GAUGAACGCUGGCGGCGUGCCUAAUACAUGCAAGUCGAGCGAACGGACGAGAAGCUUGCUUCUCUGAUGUUAGCGGCGGACGGGUGAGUAACACGUGGAUAACCUACCUAUAAGACUGGGAUAACUUCGGGAAACCGGAGCUAAUACCGGAUAAUAUUUUGAACCGCAUGGUUCAAAAGUGAAAGACGGUCUUGCUGUCACUUAUAGAUGGAUCCGCGCUGCAUUAGCUAGUUGGUAAGGUAACGGCUUACCAAGGCAACGAUGCGUAGCCGACCUGAGAGGGUGAUCGGCCACACUGGAACUGAGACACGGUCCAGACUCCUACGGGAGGCAGCAGUAGGGAAUCUUCCGCAAUGGGCGAAAGCCUGGCGGAGCAACGCCGCGUGAGUGAUGAAGGUCUUCGGAUCGUAAAACUCUGUUAUUAGGGAAGAACAUAUGUGUAAGUAACUGUGCACAUCUUGACGGUACCUAAUCAGAAAGCCACGGCUAACUACGUG
rnacentral:rRNA from 1 species